UACAGAGGGUGCAAGCGUUACUCGGAAUUACUGGGCGUAAAGCGUGCGUAGACGGUUAUGUAAGUCGGGUGUGAAAGCCUCGGGCUCAACCUGGGAAUUGCAUUCGAGACUGCAUGGCUAGGGUGCGGAAGAGGGAAGCGGAAUUUCCGGUGUAGCGGUGAAAUGCGUAGAUAUCGGAAGGAACACCAGUGGCGAAAGCGGCUUCCUGGUCCAGCACCGACGUUCAGGCACGAAAGCGUGGGGAGCAAACAGG
rnacentral:rRNA from 1 species